GCGUCUUUGGUUUUUUUAUUUUAUUUUUCAUUUCAUAGAGGGUCUAAAUUUGAAAAAAGAGAAAACUACAUUGAAAUCAAACGUGACCCCUAAAACAUCAUCAACAAACUGAUUAUUAAAUUGAAUCGGACAAGACUCAUAAGCUUCAUCAAUUAAUUUGAUUUUUAUAGCGCUUUGAGGAUUGAUCCAGUGGCAUGAAAAUUGAACCUCUUACAUGGAAACAAAGGCUAAAAAUUUGCAUUGGAGCAGCAUGUGGAGUACACUAUCUUCACACAGGAACAAAACAUUUUUGGACUUCAUUGCAAGGACCUUUGUUUACUGAUUCAAUGCCGAAACCAAAGUCCAUAUUAAGUGAUAACAUUAUAGGUUCAUAUGGUUACGUGGCCCCAGAGAUUUUAGAAAACAAUAAAGUAACAGAUAAGUGUGACGUUUACUCCUUUGGUAAUAUUCUACUAGAAGUGGUAUGCUUGGAAAAGUUAGAAAAUGUUGAGACAAAGGUUCCCAAUAGAAGAGAAUAUUGAUGAGUAUCUCAAAGGAAGCAUUGCACCAAAUUGUUGGGAAGUAUUUGUAGAUGUGACAAAAAGAUGUUUACAAUAAUAUGAUCCAA